CCUAAAAAGAUGAAGCCAGGGCAGGUUUUGUGUCAGCCACAGCCCUGUGAAUGAAGCACAGACAUUUUCCCCUCUCUCUGUUGCAGUCCCUGCGGAGGAGCCGCUCCUGGGCAGCGCUCACGAUGAGAUGUCCCAGGAUGACAUCAGGCUUUCCCUGGGACUGAGCCUCAGCGUGCUGGGAUUGUCGGUUCUUUUCGCAAUUGUGAUGUUCAAAAAAUCAGUCAGGAAAAGGACUAAGGCCACCCUUGUGUCCCUCUUGCCAAAGUGGCUCUUUGAAGACUUUCCCCGCAUGGAGAACAGCAAAGUGGUGAAGUCACUCCAGGUGAGGGCAGA